CAAGAUCCACAGUCAUUAAAUGGCAGGGCUCUAGUUCAAAUCCAGGUCAGUGUGAUUCCAGAGCUCACAGUCUCACCACUACUCUCUUCUAGAAUUUACAGUCUUCAUGCUUUGCUCUUCUCUCCUUCCCUCUCAAGACUGCAAUCAUGGAGCUGAUAGACUUAUUUUCACCAAAACAUAAAUGAUGGGCACAGCUUAUUAUGUUUUUUUUCUGGAUGCAUUUUGAAAUGACCAUUGGAUGUACUUCUUUUGCAUUUUUAUUGUGAAAUACAGAACCAGUUUUGGCACUUUAUCUGAAUACAGACAAUAUGGAGGCCUCAGGCUCAGAGGAUGGCAGAGUCUUCAGAUGGAUGGAGGGAGCUGCAGUCACUGAACCACUGCAGGGAGAGAAGUACUCACAGACCAGGAACGCUCAACUUGGACUGUUAUGUGACAGAAAGAACUUGAUGUAUACCUCCUGACCUGUUCAUCUUGUAGCUGCCUCUUGACAGAUAUAAGAGGCCGCCCUGUAGAGGAGGAAGGAGGAAGUUGGCUGUGAUUGACCUUGCUAGGUCAUCUUCCUAAUCUUUGUCCUUUCCUGCACCCCAAAUGGAAGAUAAAAGGCAAUGCAAGAUCAGCAUCCUCAGAGACAUCGUUUUGUUUGGGUUUCAUGGAUUGCAAUUGCCAGAGAUGCUUAGGCUGCCUCUAGAGGGAAGAUGAUUGAUUGUUAACCUAUGUGGUCCAACCAAAUGUCUUAGGGGUUAUUGAUAAUUAAAAUGGACAAUAGCGAUUUUCCAUUUCUUCUGGCCUUGGGUGCUGGCAUGUGGAAGUGGUAUUGAUACUCAUGACCAAAUAGGCACUUAUCGAUUUCAGUUUUCAUAAGUUGCCUACCAAAUGCAAACUAGUAACCCAGACGUGGGAGACCUAAUAUUCCAUUGUUAAUCUUUAGGUCCAUAAUUUUUAUUUCCUCUACUUGCCUCUUCUUCCUUCCUCUGCAUAAUGAGUUGGGCUUAUAUAAUUGCACCCAUUUACUCACUCAUUCGUUCAAUCAAUUAUUUGUUCCUAUUUUAUGCCAAGUAAUGAACAGAAGGUGUUGGGGAUGCAAAACCCAACUAAUUGGAAUUUCUAUGUUACAGGAGCUUAUGCUUUAGUGAAAUUAUAGACAAAUUAUUAUACAGUUUUAAUCCAGAAUAGUAAGUGCUAUGGGAGCAUGCACAGAGGAAACAACCCAAUCUUAAGGAAUCAGGAAGGUUUGCAGAGGACUGACAGGAAAAGUGGGCAGGUGAAGAAGAUGGGCAGUGAGAGGAGGAGUGGAAGCACUUUUGCUAGGGAAAAACAUGAAUAAAAGGGAUAAUUUUCUGCUCUUACCCCUGGGUGAUCUUUGCGUGGUACUGUCCAUCACAGUUGGGAGAGACGGCUCCUCAGAGCUGCUCCACACUGUUCACAGAGGAUGCCAUUCCAAGGAAACUGGGGAAUAGGGAAAGUCUUUAGCUUAUUCCUCUUUGAGGUUUGUUUGAGAUGCAGUUUCUUCAAUAUUUUGAGUCUAUGAAAACAUGUUGUAUACUUAAAUAUAUACCACAAAAAAUAAAAAAAAUUGCGA
rnacentral:lncRNA from 1 species